rnacentral:rRNA from 11 species
GCAGGGACCAAAAUUUCCCCAAAGCACCUGAUCCUGUUUGAUCUUGAACUCCUAGAAGCAGGGCAAACCCAGGUUAUUACUUGGAUGGGAAACUGCCAAUGAAUACCAGGUGGUUUAGGCU